rnacentral:rRNA from 1 species
CAGCAGCCACGGGAAUACAGAGGGUGCGAGCGUUAAUCGGAUUUACUGGGCGUAAGGCGUGUGUAGGUUGUUGUUCAAGUCAGUUGUGAAAUCCCUGGGCUCAACCUGGGAACUGCUUCUGAGACUGAACGACUAGAGUACGGUAGAGGGUGGUGGAAUUUCCGGUGUAGCGGUGAAAUGCGUAGAUAUCGGAAGGAACAUCAAUGGCGAAGGUAGCCACCUGGGCCUGUACUGACACUGAGACACGAAAGCGUGGGGAUCAAACAGGAUUAGAGACCCCUGUAGUCCCUGUCUCUUAUAA